UACGUAGGGCGCAAGCGUUAUCCGGAAUUAUUGGGCGUAAAGAGCUCGUAGGCGGUUUGUCGCGUCUGCCGUGAAAGUCCGGGGCUCAACUCCGGAUCUGCGGUGGGUACGGGCAGACUAGAGUGAUGUAGGGGAGACUGGAAUUCCUGGUGUAGCGGUGAAAUGCGCAGAUAUCAGGAGGAACACCGAUGGCGAAGGCAGGUCUCUGGGCAUUAACUGACGCUGAGGAGCGAAAGCAUGGGUAGCGAACAGG
rnacentral:rRNA from 1 species